rnacentral:tRNA from 1 species
GAUUUAUCAACAAAAAGU